rnacentral:rRNA from 1 species
UACGUAGGUGGCGAGCGUUGUCCGGAUUUACUGGGCGUAAAGAGCGCGCAGGCGGUCGUUCAAGUCGCGUGUGAAAGCCCCCGGCUCAACUGGGGAGGGUCAUUCGAUACUGUUCGACUCGAAGGCAGGAGAGGGAAGUGGAAUUCCGGGUGUAGUGGUGAAAUGCGUAGAUAUCCGGAGGAACACCAGUGGCGAAGGCGACUUUCUGGCCUGUUCUUGACGCUGAGGCGCGAAAGCUAGGGGAGCAAACGGG